rnacentral:rRNA from 1 species
UACGUAGGGGGGCAAGCGUUGUCCGGAAUCAUUGGGCGUAAAGCGCGUGUAGGCGGCCCGAUAAGUCCGCUGUGAAAGUCCAGGGCUCAACCCUGGGAUGCCGGUGGAUACUGUCGGGCUCGAGUCCGGAAGAGGCGAGUGGAAUUCCUGGUGUAGCGGUGAAAUGCGCAGAUAUCAGGAGGAACACCAAUGGCGAAGGCGGCUCACUGGCCCGGAACUGACGCUGAGACGCGAAAGCGUGGGGAGCAAACAGG